CCUACGGGAGGCUGCAGUGGGGAAUAUUGGACAAUGGGGGCAACCCUGAUCCAGCCAUGCCGCGUGUGUGAAGAAGGCCCUCGGGUUGUAAAGCACUUUCAGUGAGGAAGAACGCCUGGUGGUUAAUACCCAUCAGGAAAGACAUCACUCACAGAAGAAGCACCGGCUAACUCCGUGCCAGCAGCCGCGGUAAUACGGAGGGUGCGAGCGUUAAUCGGAAUUACUGGGCGUAAAGCGCGCGUAGGUGGCUUGAUAAGCCGGUUGUGAAAGCCCCGGGCUCAACCUGGGAACGGCAUCCGGAACUGUCAAGCUCGAGUGCAGGAGAGGAAGGUAGAAUCCCCGGUGUAGCGGUGAAAUGCGUAGAGAUCGGGAGGAAUACCAGUGGCGAAGGCGGCCUUCUGGACUGAGACUGACACUGAGGUGCGACAGCGUGGGUAGCAAACAGGAUUAGAUACCCUAGUAGUC
rnacentral:rRNA from 1 species